rnacentral:rRNA from 1 species
UACGAAGGGGGCUAGCGUUGCUCGGAAUCACUGGGCGUAAAGCGCACAUAGGCGGAUCUUUAAGUCAGAGGUGAAAUCCCAAGGCUCAACCUUGGAACUGCCUUUGAUACUGGGGAUCUCGAGUCCGGAAGAGGUGAGUGGAACUGCGAGUGUAGAGGUGAAAUUCGUAGAUAUUCGCAAGAACACCAGUGGCGAAGGCGGCUCACUGGUCCGGUACUGACGCUGAGGUGCGAAAGCGUGGGGAGCGAACAGG